rnacentral:rRNA from 1 species
AGAAUCAACGCUGGCGGCGUGCCUAACACAUGCAAGUCGAACGAGAAAGUGGAGCAAUCCAUGAGUAAAGUGGCGCACGGGUGAGUAACACGUGACUAACCUACCCUUGAGUGGGGGAUAACCUAGGGAACCUGGGCUAAUACCGCAUAAUACCUUCGGGUCAAAGGAGCAAUUCGCUUAAGGAGGGGGUCGCGGCCGAUUAGUUAGUUGGCGGGUAAUGGCCCACCAAGACUAUGAUCGGUAU